rnacentral:rRNA from 1 species
GGCUAUGGCCAUGCCACCCUGAACACACCUGAUCCUGUCUGAUCUCGGAAGCUAAGCAGGAUCGGGCCUGGUUAGUACUUGGAUGGGAGACCACCUAGGAAGACCAGGUUCCAAUAACUA